UGGGCUUGACAUGCUGGAAGUAGAACAUAGAAAUAUGAACGAUCGGUAUCCAAUCCGGAACCAGCAC
rnacentral:rRNA from 1 species